rnacentral:rRNA from 1 species
UACAGAGGUCCCAAGCGUUGUUCGGAUUUAUUGGGCGUAAAGGGUGCGUAGGUGGUAGGCUAAGUCGGAUGUGAAAUCCCGGGGCUCAACCUCGGAACUGCAUUCGAUACUGGCUUGCUUGAGGACUGGAGAGGAGAUUGGAACUCCGAGUGUAGAGGUGAAAUUCGUAGAUAUUCGGAAGAACACCAGUGGCGAAGGCGGCUCACUGGCCCGGUACUGACGCUCAGGUGCGAAAGCGUGGGGAGCAAACAGG